UGACAUUCUUCCAAAUAUCUUCCUUUGUGUUCAGCAGAACAAAGAAACUCAUACAGUUUUGGAACAACUUGAGGGUGAUUAAAUGAUGACAGAAUUUUCAUUUUUUUAUGUGAACUAUGGCCCUGUUCCAGAGAGCCAUGUAACGCAUAUUAUUGCCAUGUUCUUUGUCUGUUAAUACCAUAGACUGUAUAAAACAGUUAAUACAUACAGUGUAGUCUGAUGUCUGUGAGAGAGACUGAAGCACACUGAACCAUACUCAGCAGGAGUCUUCAGGGAGGAAGAUGAACCUUGUGUAUUUUGUGUCUUGUGUGAGAGAUAGGAUGUGUGUAUGUUUAUAUGAACAUGUUUUUGAGAGAAAGGUGUGCUGAAAAAGAAAGAGGUCAUGAUGAAGGGGGUUGAGAGGGGUACUGAACCAGAGACAGGGGAGUGGGCAAAUGCUACAAAUAGUUUUUAGGACACUGAGAUUUUGGGGCAAGGGAGGGCUGUUGUGUGUUUGAGUGAUUUUAUAUGUGCGAGUGUGCGUAUGUCAAAUGUAGGGCAAAUGCAGGACCAAAGAGGAUUCCCUCACCUAGAUUUCAAGUUUCAUACGACCUUCAUGUGUGAAAAUCUACAGCAAUUAAUGAGUGCAUUUACAUGGGGGAAAAACACAGAUAAUGGUGAAAACUGGCUUAUUAUAAAGAUCUGAUUAUGUAAAACCCUUAACAUUAAGCCAUUUAUACAACCUUAUGCAUUGUCCAUAACAGGGAAAAUUGCAUGUAAACACACACAAUGUGUUUUUGACCAAAAAUAGCACUACAUAUAUGGGACAAAUUAAAAAAUUCAUAUAUAUAUAUCUACAUUGAAUAAUAUUGAAUGCUGUAAAACUACGAAAUCAUGAUAUUCCAUAUUGAACAUUAUCCAUUUUCUCUCUCCCUUCGCUGAACAGACUCCCUGACAUUAGAAUUCCUACCCAGGCUCGGUUGCCAUGGUGAAAGCAUGUGGUUUCCUGGCGUUGCCAUGGGGAUUUCCUCCCUGAACAUUUCUUCAGCAAUCAUACACUUGUCUUUUCAUGAUUUAUUCCUUUUCUCUCUCUCUCUCUCAAUCACUCUUUUUGUCUUUCCCAGUGAUUCUCUCCCCUGCUGAAGAUCCUGGGUGGCAGUUGCUGUGACUGUGUAAAGGACAGUUGAUGAGUCUCGAUUCCCUUUAGAUGAGGGUUUUCUCAGGGUGACCUUGAGCAAGCGUGACCUCAUUGGUUUUCUAAUUUCACAUACGGACACGCAGAUUUGCACAAACGAGCGCACACCUUGAGCAGAAAUGAUCAGCUAACGGGCAUAUUAUAGCACCCACUCACCCAGCCACCCCCAUGCUCACAUUAUAUGAGCUUCUUGUGCUUGCAUUUAUCAGGAGGUUCCUGAGGAAAACAUGCUGUUGUGCUAACGAGCCUCAUUAUGGCAGCGCUCUUAUUAAAUGGCCUCUGGGUUAAACAACAUGAGGAAUACUGUGAUAUGUAAUCUCUCUACAGCCAUUAACACCGAAGCUAAAAAAAAAAAAAAAAAAAAAAUUCAGAAAUGUUUUAUGGCCUUCAUCUCACAGCUGAAAAUUUCACAUCCUUAAAAUGGAGAAAAUAAGACAAAAUGCAUAAUAUGACCUUUUAAUUGUGUAAAAUAAAUUACUAAUACUAAACUAAUAGCAUGCUGUUUUUUCCUUGCAGAUUUUUUUUUUUGCAGGUAAUGAAAGACAGGAAACACAUACUUCAAAGAUGAUAGGUAACAGCACAGCUUUAUUGAAUGAUGUGGAGAUCAGAUGGUGAGUAAACCGGAAAUGCACAACAACAGUGAGAGAAUUGGGGAUGGGAAGCAGUGUAUAUGUAGUGUAAAUAGAGAAGUGGAGGGGUCCAAGAAUUGAAUGAGGAACCCCAGUGAUCGGUUGAUGUGCUUUGGAUACCUCCCCUCUCCAGGCAACCCUGAAAGACCUACCUGUGAGAUGUGAUUCAAAUCAGUGAAGUGGAGUUCUUGUGAUGAGAGGGUGGACAGAAGAAUCUGAUGAUUCAUGGUGUCAAAGGCAGCAGAUAGAUCCACAGAUUCACCAGGUCAAUCUAUCAAAGGUUCGAAGGAGCAAACUUGGAGACCGGAUUGUGGAGGAGGAACAAUACUGGAGGUCGCAUUGAUUAACGCUCAGGAGAUGGUGAAUGUUGAGAUGGCUUGAAGUUGGAGCCUGGUGAAUCUGUGAAGAUGAAUAUUCAGAUACUAAUGAUCACAAUUACUGUAGGCUAUGAUUAUUCAUGUCAUCCCAUUUAUGCUUUUGAUAGAUGCUUUUUUUGCAUUCAAGGUACUGUAUACAUUUUAUCAGUUCAUGCAUUCCAUUUUAUAUCAUUAAAUAUGAAUGUAAUAUGACUUCUGAAUAAUAUUCUGGUAAUUUUCUUGAUAUUCUGUAUUUAAAUCUGAAAAUUCUUAAAUCUGAGCAUGAUCCAUUCCCUGCCAAAAAAGUAAUUUUCUUAAUUAUAAGUUUCUUUUUACCCCAUUUGUAUUUUAUGUUUUCUUGUUGUAAGCAUAAAAGCAAACAAAUGUUUGUGAGGUUUAUGCUUUAAACAAAAACAAUAUUUUGGCUAAAAAUGUUUUCAAAUUCCAAUUCAAGAUACUUAUAAUAAUUUGUAAUUAUAUUUUAAUAAGAAUUGAUAUAAUUGUGUUAAUUUAUAAAACACAUUUGAUUUUGCAGCACAUUAGCAUUUGGUUAUAUCUGGGGAAAAAAAAGAAAUCCUGCUCCAAGGCAAUUGAAACAAAAGGUAACUAUUUAGGGAUAUGUGUUAUAUACCUCAGCUGAGCUCUAUAAAUUAUUUUCUCAAAGCCUGCAGAUUUAAUUGCGCCUACUAUAUUGGCAAUCUGAAAGACAGACAGGCAGUAAUAUACAGGUUAUUUCCAGCCAUAUCGUGGUCCUUUAGUUUGUAUGUUUGUGUGUGUGAUUUGUAAAGGCUCGUCACAGCAGGUGUGUUCCUAAUGUGAAGUGGACAAAAAUAAACCUGUGUACCUCCCCCAAACAUUUUACAUUUCUACAGAGGAAACCCUGUCAUUACUGGAACUAAUUCAAUAGUCUGUAAAUCAGUGUUAUCUUUUCUCAGCUCAGCUGGUUUCUCCUUGCCGGAUGGUUUUUGUCACAAGUUUUAAGUGUUCAUAUAUACCUCUGAUCAUUGGACAACCUUAGUAGUUGGUGUAUUUACUGUGUGCAUGAGUAUGUUGUUUGGUUUGGAGUAGGGGUGAAUUCAGGUUGAUUGGGACAUGUUUUGUCAUUGACAUGACUGGAAAAAAGUGUCCCAGUCAACCUGAAUUCACCCCUAUAUUUGAAGGCUCUCACCAUGCCAGAUCAACGGAAGUCCUUUUAACACCGCUAUCAACACAUACUUUCUCUCCUCCUCUUUCUGUCUCAGUUUGUCUAUUUGACCUCGAAUAAAGGUCACUUCCUCUUCGGUAAUCUCGUAGCAUGCAGAGUAUGUGGGCUCAGGUUUUGUUUGCAUGUAUGAGUGUUUCCCUGCAGAGUGUGUACAUGUGUAAAUAUGCAUUUGGGAAGAGUGUGAGAGAGCAUUGAACAGUGAGAACAUAGAUUUAAAUGUAAAAAGGCAGACUGAUUUACAUGUGAAAAACUUAUUCUGACUUCUUGUGAGUUUAUACUGUAUAGGUGUUUAUUGAAUAUAUUGUUCUGGUACUGGAUGCUGAUUGGUCAAUAUGCUAUAUUAUAAAAAGGUUAGUUCCUGUCCUUGAUUCUGAUUGGUCAAUAUCU